GCCGAAACGCCCACAGCGGGCGUCUGUCGGGGAUGGUCUCCCGGCACUGAUGAUGGCAGACCA
rnacentral:hammerhead_ribozyme from 1 species